AAUGUCUGUCCGUUUGAUGCUGCCUGGAGAAAUAGCCCUAGUUACUUGCCCUCCAGAUUAUGCAUAUGACAAGUUCCCAAGGCCAGCUGCUGUUCCAGAAGGUGCUCAUGUUCAAUGGGAAAUCGAACUUCUUGGUUUUGAAAUGCCAAAGGAAUGGGAUGGUCUGGACUUCAAAAGCAUUAUGGAUGAAGCAGAGAAGAUCAGAAACACGGGCAACAGACUCUUCAAGGAAGGAAAAUUUGAACUUGCUAAAGCCAAGUAUGAGAAGGUGCUUCGUGAAUUCAAUCAUGUCAAUCCACAAGAUGAUGAAGAAGGAAAAGUUUUUUCUAAUACCCGAAAUUUGUUAAAUCUGAAUGUCGCUGCAUGCUACUUGAAACUGGGAGAAUGCAGA
rnacentral:misc_RNA from 1 species